AAACCAUCCAAACCAAUAUAACUUGUGACAAGCUUGUAACAACUUGAAACAUUUAAUAAAGCAGCAAAAUGAAAUUUCAUAUUUCAUUUCUUUUGUGCUUUCUAUGCAUCAAUUUAUUUGUCACCACCGCAAAUACCAAACCCACGCCAAAUUUUGUAAUUGGAUUUCCCGGUACUUACGUCGCAGGAUGGUACAAUUAUCCACUGUAUCCAUACGUUUACAGUUACCCUAUUUACUACAGAGCUGCAGACGGUACUCUAAAAAUCACUUGGUCUACAGACACAAUUCCAUAAACACUUCUUUAGUACUUGAGUAAUAUAUUUAGUAAAAAAUCAUAUCUACAGUAAAUGCUUACUUAUGCUUUCUACUACAA